rnacentral:tRNA from 1 species
GGAGCGGUAGCUCAGCAGGUAGAGCGCGCGGCUGAAGCCCGCGAGGCCGAAGGUUCGAUGCCUUCCUGCUCCA